AUAAAUACAGAUGCGUAAGGUGUCAAUCAGACGGAAUGUCUGGAUUGGUGAAAAGGGAAACAGGUGCAAGUCCUGUAUGAACUCGUCACCGUAAUUUGCAAGCUUAGGCUGUCAUACCACUGGGAGACCGGGAAGGAAAGCCACAAGCGUCUGAGCAAUCAGUCGGGAGACCUGCCUUUCGCAGUACAGGAAC
rnacentral:ncRNA from 2 species